AAAACGGUCCUUUUAAGGACCACAAAUCAUUUUCCGAAAGGAGAACU
rfam:Lupinus angustifolius cultivar Tanjil contig_53608, whole genome shotgun sequence.